CAUUAAAUAAACACUAACCUAGUUAGGAAAAUUAGCCUACGUGUCAAAUUAAGCUGAUGUGGCAUGUGCUACGUGUCAUUUAAACUGAUUCAUAUAUCUUUAAGCACAACACCCUAACAAUUUGUUAGACACACCUUGUUAGCCCCAUCCCCACAAUUCCUUCAUCGACACCCACAGGCCAUCGACCACCAGUCAUCCACCCUUUUCACACUCUGAAUCAACCUCCAUCUCCGACCGCCACGCACUCCGAACAUCACCCCCAUCGACGCUGGUCUUCGUCUUCCGCCGUCAUCAUCGCCGGUUCCGAACAUUGACACUACAGCCCUACUUCUCCGCCCUCAACCUCCACCACCGCCGGCCCUCCACACGUCAUCGUCACCGGUCACGCACUUUGUGGCGCACCCCCUUCUCCAGCCAACCUCCGUCUCUCACCAGUCACCACUGUCACCGGCUCCGGUCACACAUCAACCGGCGGUCGUCUUUAAUCAGCCAUCCUCCCCACUACGUCGCUGCCGUCAGAUGCGGCAGUGAGGUAUGCAGCCCAGAUGUGAUAAGAGAAGAAGAUGAUGGUGGAAACGAUGAGGUCUGAAAGUGGGUGAGUGAAAGUGAACAUGAUCUGGUCAUUUGGAUGAUUUUGGGUGAGAAAGUGUGAGCGAUUAAGAUGAAUGUGAAAGGGAGGGUGAGAGUGAGGGUGAUUUGGGUGAAAAAGAUGU